rnacentral:rRNA from 1 species
UCUCGUGACUGCGUGCCUUUUGAAGAAUGAGCCUGCGAGUUUGCGGUGUGUUGCGAGGUUAACCCGUGUGGGGAAGCCGUAGCGAAAGCGAGUCCGAAUAGGGCGAUGGAGUAGCACGCUCAAGACCCGAAGCGGAGUGAUCUAGCCAUGGGCAGGUUGAAGCGGAGGUAAGACUUCGUGGAGGACCGAACCCACCAGGGUUGAAAACCUGGGGGAUGACCUGUGGUUAGGGGUGAAAGGCCAAUCAAACUCCGUGAUAGCUGGUUCUCCCCGAAAUGCAUUUAGGUGCAGCGUCGUGUGUUUCUUGCCGGAGGUAGAGCACUGGAUAGGCGAUGGGCCCUACCGGGUUACUGACCUUAGCCAAACUCCGAAUGCCGGUAAGUGAGAGCGCGGCAGUGAGACUGUGGGGGAUAAGCUCCAUGGUCGAGAGGGAAACAGCCCAGAGCAUCGACUAAGGCCCCUAAGCGUACGCUAAGUGGGAAAGGAUGUGGAGUCGCAGAGACAACCAGGAGGUUGGCUUAGAAGCAGCCACCCUUGAAAGAGUGCGUAAUAGCUCACUGGUCUAGUGAUUCCGCGCCGACAAUGUAGCGGGGCUCAAGCGUACCGCCGAAGUCGUGUCAUUGCGAUAUAUACCCCCAACGGGGAUCGUGAUGGGUAGGGGAGCGUCGUGUGCCGGGUGAAGCAGCACCGGAAGGUAGUUGUGGACGGUUCACGAGUGAGAAUGCAGGCAUGAGUAGCGAUUCACACGUGAGAAACGUGUGCGCCGAUUGACUAAGGGUUCCUGGGUCAAGCUGAUCUGCCCAGGGUAAGUCGGGACCUAAGGCGAGGCCGACAGGCGUAGUCGAUGGAUAACCGGUUGAUAUUCCGGUACCCGCUGUGAAGCGUCAAACAUCGAGCAUCGUGAUGCUAAGGCCGUGAAGCCGCCCCGGAGCCUUCGGGCAAAGGGGAGUGGUGGAGCCGCCGAACCAAGCGGUUAGUAGGUGAGUGAUGGGGUGACGCAGGAAGGUAGUCCAUCCCGGGCGGUGGUUGUCCCGGGGUAAGGGUGUAGGCCGUGAUCCAGGCAAAUCCGGAUCACAUAAGGCUGAGACCUGAUGCCGAGCCGAUUGUGGUGAAGUGGAUGAUCCUAUGCUGUCGAGAAAAGCCUCUAGCGAGUUUCAUGGCGGCCCGUACCCUAAACCGACUCAGGUGGUCAGGUAGAGAAUACCGAGGCGUUCGGGUGAACUAUGGUUAAGGAACUCGGCAAAAUGCCCCCGUAACUUCGGGAGAAGGGGGGCCACACCUGGUGA